rnacentral:rRNA from 1 species
GAUGAACGCUGGCGGCGUGCCUAAUACAUGCAAGUAGAACGCUGAAGGAAGGAGCUUGCUCUUUCCGGAUGAGUUGCGAACGGGUGAGUAACGCGUAGGUAACCUGCCUGGUAGCGGGGGAUAACUAUUGGAAACGAUAGCUAAUACCGCAUAACAGUAGAUGUUGCAUGAUGUCUACUUAAAAGGUGCAAUUGCACCACUACCAGAUGGACCUGCGUUGUAUUAGCUAGUUGGUGAGGUAACGGCUCACCAAGGCGACGAUACAUAGCCGACCUGAGAGGGUGAUCGGCCACACUGGGACUGAGACACGGCCCAGACUCCUACGGGAGGCAGCAGUAGGGAAUCUUCGGCAAUGGACGGAAGUCUGACCGAGCAACGCCGCGUGAGUGAAGAAGGUUUUCGGAUCGUAAAGCUCUGUUGUAAGAGAAGAACGAGUGUGAGAGUGGAAAGUUCACACUGUGACGGUAUCUUACCAGAAAGGGACGGCUAACUACGUG